GAUGAACGCUGGCGGCGUGCCUAAUACAUGCAAGUCGAGCGAACAGAUGAGGAGCUUGCUUCCCAGUCGUUAGCGGCGGACGGGCGAGUAACACGUGGAUAACCUACUUAUAAGACUGGGAUAACUUCGGGACACCGGAGCUAAUACCGUAUAAUAUAUUGAACUGCAUUGUUCAAUAGUGAAAGACGGAUAUGCUGUAUCUUAUAGCUACAACGCGGACGUAUUAGCUAGUUGGUAAGGUAACGGCUAACCAAGGCCAUGAUGCGUAGCCGACCUGCGAGGGUGUUCGGCCACACGGGAACUGAGCCACGGUCAAGACUCCUACGGGAGGCAGAAGUGGGGAAUCUUCCGCAAUGGGCGAAGGCCUGACGGAGCAACGCCGCGGGGGUGAUGAAGGUCUUCGGAUCGAAAGAUUCGGUUAUUAGGGAAGAACAAAUGUGUAGUGAACUGUGCACGUCUUGACGGUACCUAAUCAGAAAGCCACGGCUAACUACGUG
rnacentral:rRNA from 1 species